GACGAACGCUGGCGGCGUGCCUAAUACAUGCAAGUUGAGCGAUGAAGAUUGGUGCUUGCCCCAAUUUGAAGAGCAGCGAACGGGUGAGUAACGCGUGGGGAAUCUGCCUUUGAGCGGGGGACAACAUUUGGAAACGAAUGCUAAUACCGCAUAACAACUUUAAACAUAAGUUUUAAGUUUGAAAGAUGCAAUUGCAUCACUCAAAGAUGAUCCCGCGUUGUAUUAGCUAGUUGGUGAGGUAAAGGCUCACCAAGGCGAUGAUACAUAGCCGACCUGAGAGGGAGAUCGGCCACAUUGGGACUGAGACACGGCCCAAACUCCUACGGGAGGCAGCAGUAGGGAAUCUUCGGCAAUGGACGAAAGUCUGACCGAGCAACGCCGCGUGAGUGAAGAAGGUUUUCGGAUCGUAAAACUCUGUUGGUAGAGAAGGACGUUGGUGAGAGUGGAAAGCUCAUCAAGUGACGGUAACUACCCAGAAAGGGACGGCUAACUACGUG
rnacentral:rRNA from 1 species